GUCCACGCCGUAAACGAUGGAUGCUAGCCGUUGGCCGGUUUACCGGGCAGUGGCGCAGCUAACGCAUUAAGCAUCCCGCCUGGGGAGUACGGUCGCAAGAUUAAAACUCAAAGGAAUUGACGGGGCCCGCACAAGCGGUGGAGCAUGUGGUUCAAUUCGAAGCAACGCGCAGAACCUUACCGGCCCUUGACAUGUCCCGUUUGGGUUUCAGAGAUGAGACCCUUCAGUUCGGCUGGCGGGAACACAGGUGCUGCAUGGCUGUCGU
rnacentral:rRNA from 1 species